UAUAUUUACUAAUAUAUAUUGACAUAUACCAAAAGUACAUAAAAAACUAUUUUCGUAACUUCUUACACUUUAACACCUUGACUUAUGAAUCGGAGUUUAGUAGAUGGAUUAAAAUUUUUGAUCUAUGAAUAAAAACAUUACAUUGAAAAUGUGUCUAUUCAAUAUUAAUGUAGACUAUAUUAGUUGUACCUUACAAAGAGUUUUUUUUGUUUGAAUAUGAACAGGAUACUUUGAUGAAUGUAUAAAUUAAAUAUAAUGUUUGGAAGUAUAAAUAUAGAACUACAAUAAUAUCUAUGAAUUGCGGAGAUUAAUAAUCAUUAGUUAUAUGAUAAUUUGUUCAAAUUAUCAUACAACUAAUUAAAAACAGCAAGUAGGCCAUAUUGGAUACAAGAAAAUAUUGAACAUACAUUUAUCUUAUAUCUUCUAACUUCUUCUAAAAUAUUUAAUAAAAUAUUUCUAGUAAAUAUGUUGUACUUUUCAGACAUUUCUACAAAAUUGACAUCACAAAGAUAUUAAAAAUACUAAUUAAUAAUGUCCAAAAAUACAUGGUGAAAGUAUGGCGUCGUCAGAGAUACCUUCUACAAGUAGCUUUCUUCCGUAUGCAGUAGUCCGUUUCCUUUGCGAAGACAGUUUUUCUGAAGUGCCAACCAACUGGAUUGAAAAUAACGGUACUUCAGCUGAAGUAGCAAAUUUUUGUUGGUGGUCUAUAACAAAAAGGUCAGUACAUUGAUUGAAAAUCGUGUACAACCGAGAGAAGACAUGGAUGAAGUACGAUAUUGAGAUACAAAAAUACUGCUCUUCACUCAUAACCGCGCGAAAAGCAGCGUCCGACUACUUAACAACUGAUGAUGAUGCUUAGGCAGAGGUUUGCGAAAACCAAUGCCACGUGAACAGUCUGAUUCCGAAUAUGAAGAGGAAGAAAAACGCGUUGAAGCUCCUAAGAAACUAUCAGAGAAAAA
rnacentral:lncRNA from 13 species